UACAGAGGCCUCGAGCGUUGUUCGGAAUUACUGGGCGUAAAGAGAACGUAGGUGGUGACGUAAGUCAGAUGUGAAAGCCCUGGGCUUAACCCGGGAAGUGCAUUUGAUACUGCGUUGCUAGAGUACGAAAGAGGAAAGCGGAAUUUCCAGUGUAGGAGUGAAAUCCGUAGAUAUUGGAAGGAAUACCGAUGGCGAAGGCAGCUUUCUGGUUCGUAACUGACACUGAGGUUCGAAAGCGUGGGUAGCAAACAGG
rnacentral:rRNA from 1 species